rnacentral:rRNA from 1 species
UACGUAGGGUGCGAGCGUUGUCCGGAAUUACUGGGCGUAAAGAGCUCGUAGGCGGUUUGUCGCGUCGUCUGUGAAACUCUGCAACUCAAUUGUAGGCGUGCAGGCGAUACGGGCAUCACUGGAGUUCGGCAGGGGAGACUGGAAUCCUGGUGUAGCGGUGAAAUGCGCAGAUAUCAGGAGGAACACCGGUGGCGAAGGCGGGUCUCUGGGCCGAUACUGACGCUGAGGUGCGAAAGCGUGGGGAGCAACAGG